ensembl:snoRNA SNORD102 small nucleolar RNA, C/D box 102
GGCUUGAGGAUGACUGUCUCCUAUGAUUGCUCUAGUUGGAGCAAAAUGAGCAAAUCAUUUCACCGGCACUGAAAGCA